GUGUUACUGUUGAAUAGAGCUCGCUUUGGAGCAAAAUGGAACCACUCGAGCUUGUUGUAGCCGUCCCCGCCACCGUCAGAACAUGCAGAUCCUCUAGCUCGUCAUGAUCAGCACCGGAGCUAGCUCCAUCACGGCACUCCCCUCGCCCGCCUAUGAAUAGAGUACCCCCGAGCCACUCUCCAACCCAGCACCACUCGACCACACUGCAGUGCCACACCGAGCCUCUCGGAGGGCAUCGGGAGGGUAUUCUUCCCCGUGUCUAGCCACCCUGAUCCACCUCGGGCUCCGACUAAAUUAGCCCUAGUGAGCGUCUCUCCGGCGGGAUUAACGUGCACCGGAAGCCGGCGUCCGCUAGAGUGGAAGUUGCCGUCGACGUGGUGCUUGCAGACGACCCCUUCCACUACCCACCCUCGCAGAAGGUCCCUGUUUACAUCAAGUGGGAGAAUGCCAGCAGAUGGAAUUCUGGACCUGAAAAAGCUACGUAACAGAUACCUAUUUUGCACAUCUCCAAUUGGUCUAAAAAUUUAUUGAGAUCUAUUUUAUAACAAAUAAAAAAUAUUGGAGCGAAGAAGUACGGGACGGGGGCUACCUAGUGCCCACUAGACACUAGGGAACGUGACGCCCCCUAGCGCAGCUUGACGUCUAGUGGCCCCCUUGGCACACCUCUGGCGAUCAUCUUCUGGUAUAAAUACUCCUUUCCCCUGAAAAUUAAAGAGGAGGAUUUUCGGGACGAAGCGUCGCCGUCUUGAGGUGGAACUUGGGCAGGAGAACAUUUGCCCUCCGGUGGAGCGAUUCCACCGAAGGAACUUCCCUCUCAAAGGGGGAAAUCAAUGCCAUCGUCAUCACCAACAACCCUAUAAUCUUGGGGAGGCCAAUAUCCAUCAACAUCUUCAUCAUCACCAUCUCCUCUAAAAACCCUAGUUAAUCUCUUUGACUCUAUCUUGUACCGGAACCUCGGAUUGGUACCUGGGGUGUGACUAGUAGUGUUGAUUACAUCUUUAGUUG